rnacentral:misc_RNA from 1 species
UCGACGACAAGCGUCUUGG